rnacentral:lncRNA from 1 species
CAAAAUAAUUGUUUAUGUUUAUUAACAUUGCCAUAUGUUCUUGUACAUGCUGCCAUUUUGAAAUCGAUUCUAUCUCAAAAACUUUUUAAGAAAAAUGUAAAUAAAAGAAAUUGUUUCAAGGGUAUAUAACUCUCAAAAUGGAUGAUGAAAUCCUACGCAGCCUCAUACGGUAAUACAUCAUGAUGAAAUCUACCUAUCGUCCAAAUAAGGUAAUGAUAUCUUCAAAAACAACGAGAGGGG